AAAUUAAAUUUAUUAUCUAAAAUUUUAUUUGUUUUUCAUAAUUAAUUUUAAAAGUAUUGGCGGUAUUUAGUUAAAUUCUGAGGAACUUGUCUAUUUAAAUUGAUAUUACUCAUUAAAUUUUAUCUAUAAUUAAUUUUAUGUAUUGCUGUUUAAUUUAUUAUUUAUUAUUUUAAUAAGUUUAAUUAAAUUUUAUUUUGAAUAGUUCAAGUCAAAAUGUAGAUUUUUAUAGGGUUGGAUGAGUUACGUUUAUAUUGAAAUGUGAAACUGUAAAUUUAAUUGAAAUAUUAUUGAAUUGAAGGUAGGAUUAGGGAGUAAAAAAAAAAUAGUUAGUUUUUUUGAUAUUUUUAUACUAAUAUGU
rnacentral:rRNA from 1 species